rnacentral:rRNA from 1 species
UACGGAGGGAGCUAGCGUUGUUCGGAAUCACUGGGCUUAAAGGGCGCGUAGGCGGUCCGACAAGUCGGGGGUGAAAUCCUGCAGCUUAACUGCAGAAGUGCCUUCGAUACUGUCGGUCUUGAGGGAGAUAGGGGUGUGCGGAACUUCCAGUGGAGCGGUGAAAUGCGUUGAUAUUGGAAGGAACGCCGGAGGCGAAAGCGGCGCACUGGAUCUCUACUGACGCUGAGGCGCGAAAGCCAGGGGAGCAAACGGG